GAUGAACGCUGGCGGCGUGCCUAAUACAUGCAAGUCGAGCGAACGGACGAGAAGCUUGCUUCUCUGAUGUUAGCGGCGGACGGGGGAGUAACACGUGGAUAACCUACCUAUAAGACUGGGAUAACUUCGGGAAACCGGAGCUAAUACCGGAUGAUAUUUUGAACCGCAUGGUUCAAAAGUGAAAGACGGUCUUGCUGUCACUUAUAGAUGGAUCCGCGCUGCAUUAGCUAGUUGGUAAGGUAACGGCUUACCAAGGCAACGAUGCAUAGCCGACCUGAGGGGGUGAUCGGCCACACUGGAACUGAGACACGGCCCCGACUCCUACGGGAGGCAGCAGUAGGGAAUCUUCCGCAAUGGGCGAAAGCCUGACGGAGCAACGCCGCGUGAGUGAUGAAGGUCUUCGGAUCGUAAAACUCUGUUAUUAGGGAAGAACAUAUGUGUAAGUAACUGUGCACAUAUUGACGGUACCUAAUCAGAAAGCCACGGCUAACUACGUG
rnacentral:rRNA from 1 species